ACUCCUACGGGAGGCAGCAGUAGGGAAUCUUCCACAAUGGGCGCAAGCCUGAUGGAGCAACACCGCGUGAGUGAAGAAGGGUUUCGGCUCGUAAAGCUCUGUUGUUAAAGAAGAACACGUAUGAGAGUAACUGUUCAUACGUUGACGGUAUUUAACCAGAAAGUCACGGCUAACUACGUGCCAGCAGCCGCGGUAAUACGUAGGUGGCAAGCGUUAUCCGGAUUUAUUGGGCGUAAAGAGAGUGCAGGCGGUUUUCUAAGUCUGAUGUGAAAGCCUUCGGCUUAACCGGAGAAGUGCAUCGGAAACUGGAUAACUUGAGUGCAGAAGAGGGUAGUGGAACUCCAUGUGUAGCGGUGGAAUGCGUAGAUAUAUGGAAGAACACCAGUGGCGAAGGCGGCUACCUGGUCUGCAACUGACGCUGAGACUCGAAAGCAUGGGUGGCGAACAGGAUUAGAUACCCUGGUAGGCUACCG
rnacentral:rRNA from 1 species